AGAGCGAACGCUGGCGGCAGGCCUAACACAUGCAAGUCGAGCGCCCGUAGCAAUACGGGAGCGGCAGACGGGAUAGUAACACGUGGGAACGCGCCCUUCGGUUCGGAAUAACUCAGGGAAACUUGAGCUAAUACCGGAUACGCCCUUACGGGGAAAGAUUUAUUGCCGAAGGAACGGCCUGCGCAUGAUUAGCUUGUUGGUGAGGUAAAAGCUCACCAAGGCAGUGAUCAUUAGCUGGUCUGAGAGGAUGACCAGCCAGACUGGGACUGAGAACGGCCCAGACUCCUACGGGAGGCAGCAGUAGGGAAUUUCCACAAUGGGCGAAAGCCUGAUGGAGCAACGCCGCGUGCAGGAUGAAGGCUCUAGGGUCGUAAACUGCUUUUAUCUGUGACGAUAUGACGGUAGCAGAUGAAUAGGAUCGGCUAACUCCGUGCCAGCAGCCGC
rnacentral:rRNA from 1 species